rnacentral:lncRNA from 1 species
UAGAAGAUUCCAUAGAUGGAUGUCAGAUAACAUCAAGGAAGAACUUAAUCGUGCAUAUGAAGAAGAUGCUGACUUGAAGCACCAAUUGGCCUCUAAGACCGAAGAGAGCGAAGCUUUAGCUUCAGGUCGUCUGUCUGCUUCAAGUAAAACAGAAGAAAUAGAAACCAUCAACAAAGAUGAGCCUAAAAGAGAUUCUGAAGUUGGGAUUGACGGUAAGACAGCUGAAACUAAACAGCAAGGAGAGACAAAUACCGCAAUGUAUGUGCCGGUUUGGGAGGAAGGAGAUGAAGUAACUAAACUCAUGAAGCAACUCAAAGAAAAUGAAAAGAACCUAACAUCUAGAAUCAACAAUUCAAUGGCACAGGUCUGCAAUCUGAAAAAGGAAGUGGACUAUUUACGUGCUCAACAAUGUGAAGCCAGAGGAAAUGUAAUGAAGCCGGAAUUAGAGGUUCAAGUGAAAACUCUGAAAGAGGAAAACCAAGGCUUACAGGUGCAGGUGAUCGACUUGGAAUCGGAGGUUGAUGCUCUACGCAAACAGAAAAUUACAUCCAAAGAUGAAUUGAGGAGUAAUGUUCAUGAAAUCAAUCGAUUGAAAGAGGAAAAUGCUCACCUGAAUUCAAGAAUUCUAGGACUGGAAGCACUAUUUAGAGAGAGGAGACUUGAGGACUGCCAAACUAAAAGGGAAAAACAAACAACUCAGAUGAGUACAGAGGUUAAGUUGGAUCAUGUGACGGAGAAAAACCAAGUGGAGUUACAGAUUGCAGACCAACAGAGAAUGAUGAAAGAAAUAGAAGAACAUACUAGGAAAACCAUGGAACGUAACCCAAAGCUUAUCAAACAAUUAUCUGCAGGAAACAAGUUAAAUUACAUAGAAAGAAAGAUGGGGAAUUUAGCACAAGAAUUCUACCAGAAACUCAAUGAUAACAUCCGUCUUCUGUGCUUAAGGAUCGCGGUUGCUGAAAAAACACAUUACGAAAACAAAGAGAAUUACAAGAACAUAAAAGAAAGUUUAGAGCAAGAAAACAAAGAACUGAAACAAAAGCUUGUUACUUGUGAAACUGAGUUGACGAAGCUGAUAGAUAAUGCAGAAAAGAAAAGGGAAAAUGACAAGGUAUCGAAUUCAGAAGAAGGACAAAAGUUGAAGCUAUUGAAAGCUGUGAGUGUGCUUGAGAAAAAAGUGGGAGAAUUGGAGAAGAU